rnacentral:rRNA from 1 species
CCUACGGGAGGCAGCAGUGAGGAAUAUUGGUCAAUGGACGAGAGUCUGAACCAGCCAAGUAGCGUGAAGGAUGACUGACCUAUGGGUUGUAAACUUCUUUUAUAUGGGAAUAAAAUGUUCCACGUGUGGGAUUUUGUAUGUACCAUAUGAAUAAGGAUCGGCUAACUCCGUGCCAGCAGCCGCGGUAAUACGGAGGAUCCGAGCGUUAUCCGGAUUUAUUGGGUUUAAAGGGAGCGUAGGUGGAUUGUUAAGUAAGUUGUGAAAGUUUGCGGCUCAACCGUAAAAUUGCAGUUGAAACUGGCAGUCUUGAGUACAGUAGAGGUGGGCGGAAUUCGUGGUGUAGCGGUGAAAUGCUUAGAUAUCACGAAGAACUCCGAUUGCGAAGGCAGUUCACUGGACUGCAACUGACACUGAGGCUCGAAAGUGUGGGUAUCAAACAGGAUUAGAUACCCUAGUAGUC